rnacentral:rRNA from 1 species
UGAGGAAUAUUGGUCAAUGGCGAGAGCCUGAACCAGCCAAGUCGCGUGAGGGAAGACGGUCCUAUGGAUUGUAAACUCUUUUGCCGGGGAGCAAAGAGCGGUACGUGUACCGCGCCGAGAGUACCCGGAGAAAAAGCAUCGGCUAACUCCGUGCC